rnacentral:rRNA from 1 species
UACGGGGGGAGCAAGCGUUGUUCGGAUUUACUGGGCGUAAAGGGCGCGUAGGCGGCCAGCACAAGUCAGUUGUGAAAUCUCCGGGCUUAACUCGGAAAGGUCAACUGAUACUGUGCGGCUAGAGUGCAGAAGGGGCAACUGGAAUUCUUGGUGUAGCGGUGAAAUGCGUAGAUAUCAAGAGGAACACCUGCGGCGAAGGCGGGUUGCUGGGCCGACACUGACGCUGAGGCGCGAAAGCUAGGGGAGCGAACGGG